CCUACGGGGUGCAGCAGUGGGGAAUAUUGCACAAUGGGGGAAACCCUGAUGCAGCGACGCCGCGUGAGGGAAGAAGUAUUUCGGUACGUAAAGCUCGAUCAGCAGGGAAGAAAAGGACGGUACCUGACUAAGAAGCCCCGGCUAACUACGUGCCAGCAGCCGCGGUACUACGUAGGGGGCAAGCGUUAUCCGGAAUUACGGGGUGUAAAGGGAGCGUAGACGGCUAUGCAAGUCUGGAGUGAAAGGCGGGGGCCCAACCCCUGGACUGCUUUUGAAACUGUAUGGCUGGAGUGCAGGAGAGGUCAGUGGAAUUCCUAGUGUAGCGGUGAAAUGCGUAGAUAUUAGGAGGAACACCAGUGGCGAAGGCGGCUUACUGGACUGUAACUGACGUUGAGGCUCGAAAGCGUGGGGAGCAAACAGGAUUAGAUACCCCUGUAGUC
rnacentral:rRNA from 1 species